CUCAGUAUGCAACCGUUUUGUUGUUAUGUGAAUAAAUGGAAUUGAAGCAUAAGUUAAAUAUUGAAUUAAAGUUAUUUUUGCAAUAAGUGUGUACAAACGAACUAAUGACGCGAACAGACAGCACGAACUUUAUAUAGUCGAAAACUAUAAGUUUAACCGGUUAUAUCUAUAUAUCCGCCUCUAUCCUCCCAUAUCCAUUUCAACCCCGAAAUCCUGGGACGGUAUUCUAAAGCCGACCCAAAAUAAAUAUCAAGAAAAAAUUUACACAGUUUUAUGGACAAAUAGUGAAAGAAAAAAUACAGAGUUUUUGAAUGGCAAAGUCUGAAGACUUGAAAGUCAUGACUUCAAAUUAACCGCAAUAGAUUCGAAAUAUAUUGGAGAAAAUAAAGAAAUUUAUCCAUUUUUCUGAUAAAUAGAAGCAACCAUCUAAAAGUGAUACUAAUUAUGACAAAUUAUUCAAAAUUCGUCCACUAUUAUCGUUGAUUAAAGAAGAAUUUAACAAUCUAUCUCAAGAGAAACACCAAAGCAGUAAAGAUCAUCCUUCAAACAGUACAACCCUGCUAAGCCGCACAAAUGGGGACUGAAAAUGUUCACGCGGGACGUCGGGAAUUAUUUAUGACUUUGCGCUCUACUUUGGUGAUGGAACUUGCCCUUCAUAUGGACCCAGCAUAUCAUCGGACCUUGUAUUAUAAAUAGUAUCCGCAGUACAAAAAUUUCAAAAUCACAAACUGCAUUUUGCUAAUUGGUUCACAUCUGUAAGCCUUCUUGUGGCUCUAAAAGAAAUGGCAAUAUUUUGCAUCGGCAUGGUCGAAAAAAAUCGAAUGGGACAGUGUGAACUAAAGUCUGAGCCAGACUUGAACAGGAGAUCAUAUGAGAAGAUAAUAUUAGCAUUGCCGCAGUGCGCUGACUGGAUAAUAAGGCAGUUCACCUUUGUGGAAGAUAAACCAAUUAAGACAUGUAAACGUUCGAAUGGGAAAGAAAAAAAUUGUUAAAGUUCCGAGGCCGAUUACUGUUUCCAAAUAUUAUAUAAUUAACACAUGAGAGGGGUUGCACUUGCCGACUUCCUUAUGGAGCUGUAUGAAGUGAAACAUCGCACCAAUAAGUGGUACAUGAAAAUAUUUCACUGGAGCUUAGGCACAGUAGUUACCCACUCCUGGCUAUCGGAGACAUCUCAAACUCGAUAAUCUAUACGCCAAGCACUUAUAAAAUUUCAGAUGGAUUUCGCAAUUGAGCUCUUAAGCGCUACGCCGAUGUUUUUUUUUAGUUCUACUCUAAAGAAGAGGGGACGCUAUGUGCUAUGAAAAAUGUAGAAACCGACCUAACUCCGUCUAGUUUGAAACACCGUCACGCUGUUAAAAGUCCCCCCAACUCCAAGCGAUAUAAUGAAAAUAGCCAUUAGAUAGUUUGGGGAGAAAAAGAACGAUUCCGUCUUUGAAAACCGGAACACCUCCCUUAAAAAUGCGUAAAAUGUUGUGUGCAUCAUUGCUGAAAUACGCAUAAAAACUAGUUAUCACAACGAAAAUACAAAACUUUUAAAACAAAAAUAUUUGUGAUAAAUAAAGAGAAACUUCUUGUAUAUACAAAUACUGCCCUUAACGCCCAAUAUCGCUUACAAGCAACUUUCUAUAUCUCGUGACCGGAUAAAACUAGGGAGUUAAAAUUUCGAAGUUAAUUAAGGCAUUAAUAAAUGCGAUUUUAAUUCAUAAUGUUUUUUUUUAUGAUUCCAAAACAAAAUUUUCAAGGAUUUUAACCACUGAAAAUGUGUUUAUUGAGUGAUAACUGAAUCGUACAAAAUCAUCAAAAUAUAAACAGAAAAUUCAUGAGAAAAACAGAAAAAGGUUUUUUUUGACAUGUAUUAAAAAUUUUUUUUGUAAGAGAAAGCACGCUCCGAAGUAAUCCAAUCUUAUAUAUGUAAUUUAAUCACGAUCCAAAUCGGUUACGUAUCGCGAACAUAGAAAAAAGUAGAAACGAUGAAAUAAUUAUUGAAAGUGAAAAUUAUAAUAAAAAAAUUAAUUGAAAAAGGCGAUUGAACAGAACAUGUACUAAAGUUAUGAAGUCAAAAUUCCGUUUGUACAAUAUUAAAUUUAAAUAUGAAGAUAGCCUCACAAUCGAGAAAUUAAAAAAAAAAA